rnacentral:rRNA from 1 species
GACGAACGCUGGCGGCGUGCUUAACACAUGCAAGUCGAACGGACAGGCCCUGCUCUUGUGGGUUGCUCGAUUGCCGAACGGGUGAGUAACACGUGAGUAACCUGCCCUUGUCUUUGGGAUAACUUCACGAAACUGGGGCUCAUACCGGGUAGGAUCUCCUGCUGCAUGGUGGUCGUUGGAAAGUUUCGGCGGUUGUGGAUGGACUCGCGGCUUCUCCGCUUGUUGGUGGGGUAGUGGCUUACCAAGGCUUUGACGGGUAGCCGGCCUGAGAGGGUGACCGGCCACAUUGGGACUGAGAGACGGCCCAGACUCCUACGGGAGGCAGCAGGGGGGAAUAUGGCACAAUGGGCGGAAGCCUGAGGCAGCAACGCCGCGUGCGGGAUGACGGCCUUCGGGUUGUAAACCGCUUUCGCCUGUGACGAAGCGUGAGUGACGGUAAUGGGUAAAGAAGCACCGGCUAACUACGUG